rnacentral:lncRNA from 1 species
GCUUGCAGGAAGUGAAAUGGAUCAGAGAGAGGCUUGGAUUCUUGGAGUUUAAAUCUAAAAAUAGAAGGAGAUUUGAAACUCGAUUUCAAGUUAAAUCUUCAAGUUUAUCCUUUAAUGGAGGUUAGUGAGGCAAUGGUUCGAAGCUUGGGCAAGCAGGGAUCCCUUUUCUGAUCACAAUGGCCAUGUAUUUAUAGGGUAUCAAGUUGCUUUUC